CAGCCGCCGCGGGAAUACGAAGGGGGCUAGCGUUGUUCGGAAUCACUGGGCGUAAAGCGCACGUAGGCGGACCUUUAAGUCAGGGGUGAAAGCCUGGAGCUCAACUCCAGAACUGCCUUUGAUACUGGAGGUCUCGAGUGUGGAAGAGGUUGGUGGAACUGCGAGUGUAGAGGUGAAAUUCGUAGAUAUUCGCAAGAACACCAGUGGCGAAGGCGGCCAACUGGUCCAUUACUGACGCUGAGGUGCGAAAGCGUGGGGAGCAAACAGGAUUAGAUACCCGUGUAGUCCCUGUCUCUUAUAC
rnacentral:rRNA from 1 species